rnacentral:misc_RNA from 1 species
CAAUUUUCUUGUCAUGCUGACACUACAAUUAGACCAGUCCAAAAGGGUUAUUUUAUUUGAGGGAGAUGAAGUGUUUGAUAGGAAGAGCCAGAGAGAAGGGAUAAAAAACAUCUUUUUCUGCUAACAUAAUAGAUGAGCUAUUCAAGAAGUAGAGUGCUAUACUUAAACCUUUUGGUGCCUACUGUGAAACCGUCAAAGGCUUAAGAGCAGAAGUCCAUGCCAUUUUGCUAGUUUUUUGUUCAAACUUCACUUUCAUGCGCGCACGACACACCACUUUUGUCAAGAUAAUACUGCUCGUGAAAUUGAAUAUAUAAAACUGGAAAUCUUGACCUCAAUGGCUCUAUUUUUGUUGUCUGUUAUUGCACUGGAUACGAAUCUUCAAUAAAUCACAAUCUAAAAUUUUCCACUUGGGUUUGUCUUUUCAUCUAUAAAUUUGUUGCCGGCUUUGUCCCUCUGUGUAUGUGUGUGAUCUUCUGCUGCUCAGUAAUGAGGAUCUUGAGCUUCUCUUUCUUUGUCGUUUGGGUGUUUCAGGUUGUUUCUGCACAGCCCACUGAUCCUAAUGAAGUGGCUGCCCUCAGUAAGAUGAUAGAUUACUGGAACUUGAGAGGCAAAUUAAAUAUUACUACUGAUCCUUGUGCUCAGAAUGCAAUAUGGUCUAAUGAAGAUGCUAAUCCUCGAAUUGCUUGUGACUGCCUUGGCAACACCUGCCACAUCACUCACCUGAAGAUUUAUGCUUUGGACAUUGCUGGUGAGAUACCCAGUGACCUGUUUGUGCUUAAGGAGCUAAUGGAUUUGAAUCUUGGUCAAAAUGUAUUAAAUGGGUCCAUCCCUCCUGAGAUUGGACAGUUAUCAAAUAUGCAAUACCUGUAAAUAUGCUUCACAUGAUUGUAAUUUGUAGAGCUUAUGAGUUUUUCACUAAGUGCAAAGAAUCUUCUCUCAACGUUUUGGCAUUCACAACUGUCUUCUACAUGUUUGAUAAUGAAACAGUAGCCUAGGCAUCAACAAUCUCACGGGUCCUGUACCUCCAGAGCUUGGAAAUCUAACCAAGUUGCUUUCUCUAAGUUUUAGCUCAAACAAUUUCUUUGGACCAUUACCCAUUGCCCUUGGAAAUUUGACCUCCUUACAGCAAUUGUAUAUUGAUAGCAGUGGAGUAAGUGGACAGAUUCCCCAAGAAUUUGAAAACUUGAAAUCUCUUCAGAUUCUCUGGGCAUCUGAUAAUCUCUUUAACGGAAAGCUUCCAGACUUUUUUGGAACUCUUACAAAACUUAGGGUCCUGCGACUUCAAGGUACAUUGCUUGAAGGUUCAAUUCCAAGCAGUUUUAGUGCUCUAAACAACCUGGAGGACUUGAGAAUUGGCGAUCUUAGUGGUGAAGAUUCUUCCCUUGAGUUCUUAAAAACCCAAACAAAUUUAUCCAUAUUGGUCUUGAGAAACUGCCUGAUUUCUGGAGAAAUUCCAGAACAGCUUGGCACAUUUUCUAAGUUGAAACUGCUGGACUUGAGUUUCAACAAGUUGACUGGCCAUAUUCCAGACUCAUUCCAAGAUUUGGCUUCUUUACAAUAUAUGUAUCUUGGGAAUAACAACUUGAGUGGGGAGCUACCUGCAAAUAUCAUAGGUCCACAACUCAACGCAAUAGAUGUCUCAUUCAAUCCUCUUUCUGGAAAUCUGCCACAAAAUUUUGCCAAAGUUGGAUCAUCCAUGAUUGUUGUUGGGACUUCGAUUAAUGCAAAUGGUUUACAGGACAGCAAGGUUUCUGGGAUGUUGCGAUGCCUCCAAGCUGAUUUGAAAUGCAGCAACAAAGUUCCAUCAUCUUCAUUCUCUAUCAAAUGUGGAGGCACAGGCCAAACAUCUGCUUCUGGUAUUGAAUAUGAUGAUGAUUCUGAAAUACUGGGAGCUGCCUCACUGCAAACAAGCUCUGACAAUUUUUGGGCUGUAAGCAAUGUUGGGAAUUUCAUCUCAAACCCUUCACCCGGAUAUAUAGCACAGACAGAUUCUCAAAUUACUGAAACUUUAGACUCUGAGCUGUAUAAGAAAGCAAGAAUUUCACCAAGUUCGCUAAGGUACUAUGGUCUUGGCUUAAAGAAUGGGAGAUACAACGUUGAGCUUCACUUUGCAGAGAUAGUAA